UUCCUCUAAAAAUUGUUUCUCGCCGGAACCAUGACCUCGUCGGUUCUUCUAGAGCGUCAUCGGGCCUUUUCGAGCCUUCUAUGCAAGUUCAUAUUCUCGCGCUCUAUGGGCGGUGGUCCUCGGACCUUCCCCGGAGGCAUUAACAAGUGGCAAUGGAAGCGAAUGCAUGAGAAACGGGCUAAAGAGAAGGAGAAAAGGCUUCUCGAACAGGAGAAGCAGCUCUACCAGGCUCGAGUUCGUUCUGAAAUACGCUCCAAGCUUGCUGGUGAUUACGAAAUUUCGAAGAAUUCGGACCCUUCUACCAGUUACUCCCCAAUGAGCCCUAGUGAGCAUAUUCAUGCUCUAGCUAAUAGGUUCAUGAAAGAAGGAGCGAUUGAUUUGUGGAAUGAAGAUGAUGGUCCAUUGAAGACUCCGAUACCGAGGCCGCAAUUGCACGGAGGAUUACGACGGAUUGCAUCGAAUGAUCGGGGUGGAUUUAUUAGAUCGCCUAUUGAUGUCAAGAAGUUGUUAACGGAGAAACAGGAUGGAUUAGAAGGGCCUCAGAAUAUGGGAUUGGGAAAGUUGAACGGCGAUAAUUUGAAGGGGAGGAGCUAUUCAGUGCAAACUCGAAGGAGCUUCCGCAGAAAUGAGAGCUCAUCGAGUGACGAUGACACGGGGUUUAACUCAGGUGUCGAUUCAGUAAAACCUUUUGUGCAUAAGUUAGCACGUAGCUCUGAUAAAAAUGUGAAAUCAAGAAAUCUUAACAGUGUUAGCAAUGACAGGAAGGCUGUAGCUCAGGGGAAGAUGAAAUUUUGGAGAAAAGGGAGUUCGUCAAGCGAUGAUGAUUCGGAAGAAGAAAUGGAUAAUGUGGAUAAGGAUUUGAGAAGUUGGAAGGAUUUGAGAACUGGGAGUAGUGCUUCCUUGGGGAAGUUUGAUCUGAAAAAGAGGAGGGUACCUCCAAAACCAUAUGGUGAAGAAAGUGAUUUUGCUGAGCAAGUUCAGCUGCUUAGACAUGAACUCAGCAAGAAGAAUGCAGCUGAAGACGAAGGUGAUAAGAACAAGGAGACAAUUUUCACUCAGAAAAGAUUUGACGAGUGUGGCCUAUCUCCGCUGACAGUCAAAGCACUUUCUUCCGCUGGAUAUGUCCGAAUGACUCGUGUACAAGAGGCUACUCUAUCUCUUUGCCUUGAGGGGAAGGACACCUUGGUUAAGUCAAAAACUGGCAGUGGAAAGAGCGUUGCUUUUCUGCUUCCUGCCAUUGAAGCAGUUUUGAAGGCUGCAUGUAGCAGCAGUAAUCAAAGGGUGCCUCCAAUUUCUGUUCUGAUUCUCUGCCCCACCAGGGAACUUGCUAGUCAAAUUGCUGCAGAAGCAAUUGCUCUGCUAAAGUACCAUGAUGGUAUAGGAGUGCAAACGUUAGUUGGAGGCACUCGAUUCAAAGAUGAUCAGAAACGGCUAGAAUCAGUUCCCAGCCAGAUUAUAGUUGCUACUCCUGGUAGAUUGCUUGACCAUGUUGAGAAUAGGUCUGGCUUGUCUGUGCGACUGAUGGGAUUGACAAUGCUUAUUCUUGAUGAAGCUGACCUGUUACUGGACUUGGGAUUUCGAAAGGACAUUGAGAAAAUUGUUGACUGCUUGCCCCGCCGAAGGCAGUCCCUGAUGUUCUCUGCAACUGUUCCAAGGGAGGUCCGGCGAAUAUCUCAGCUAGUUUUGAAAAGGGAACAUGUCUUUGUUGAUACUGUGGGCCUUGGUUGUGUGGAAACUCCUACUCAGGUCAGGCAGUCGUGUCUUAUAGCACCACAUGAAUCUCAUUUUCAAAUUGUAUGCAAUCUUUUGAAGGAACAUAUCUCGUGCACUCCCGAAUACAAGGUUAUAGUUUUCUGUACAACAGGGAUGGUAACAUCACUCUUCUACAUGCUUUUCCGGGAAAUGAAAAUGAACGUCAGAGAGAUGCACGCCAGGAAGCCUCAACUUUAUCGAACACGUAUCUCAGAUGAAUUCAAACUGUCAAAACGGCUCAUUCUUGUUACAUCUGAUGUUUCAUCUCGUGGUAUGAAUUACCCUGACGUUACCUUGGUCAUACAGGUGGGCAUACCAUUUGACAGGGAGCAAUAUAUACAUCGUCUUGGACGAACAGGACGUGAAGGCAAAGAAGGUCAAGGUAUCUUGUUGAUUGCACCAUGGGAGGAAUAUUUCCUGGAUGCGUUAAAAGAUCUGCCUCUUGAAAGAUGCGCUCUGCCCCAGUUGGAUUCAGGCUUAAAGCUAAAGGUAGAGGAAUCAAUGGCAAAGAUUGAUACCUCCAUCAAAGAAGGUGCAUAUCAUGCAUGGCUAGGUUAUUACAACUCAAUCAGAGAAAUUGGCAGGGAUAAAACUACUCUGGUUGAGCUUGGCAAACAAUUCUCCGAGUCAAUUGGUCUUCAAAAGCCACCUGCUCUUUUCAGGAAGACAGCCCUAAAGAUGGGUUUGAAAGAUAUACCCGGCAUAAAAAUUCGGAAGUAGUUUUUGCACGGUAUGAACAUCAAUUUCGUGUUCGUUUAUCACACAUAAUCAGGAGAGGAAUGAGAAUAUUUUUCAACACCCAAGGUACACAUUCAAACAGAAGUGCAAGAUCCAAGUCGUCUUGCCCAUAUACGUGCAGGAAUGUAUAUCAAGCUGAGUUGUCGUGCCACGUGACAGUUAACUAUCUUAAUGUGAUUGAUAUCGACGUGUGAAUGGAUUGUUCGAUUGAUCUUGACGUGUGAAUGGAUUGUGUAUGAACUCUUUAGAUUUCCCAUUGAAUAACUCCUUUUGCCUUCAUUUUCAAUUCAAAUAUCAAUAUGUUUCGUUGUAAUUUCUUGGUGAAGACCACCACAUUUGGAUUUUUAUGUGCCUCAAUUAUUGGAACAUAUAAACAUAGCUUAAUCUA